GACGAUCAAAGCAAUCAAUACUGGUUGGUUACAUCCUACACUCAACCAAGAUGAGUUGGAAGCUGAAGUGACCAUCGACACUGUCCCAAAUGUAAAGAAGCAGCAUCAAGUGAAUGUUGCCAUAUCCAACUCAUUUGGGUUUGGAGGCCAUAAUUCAGUUGUUGUCUUGGCACCCUUCAGCCUUUGAGAAGUUUCACUCGAAAUCUAGUCCCACUAUAGUGUUGGACUGAUGUUAAAACAUUUCCA